rnacentral:rRNA from 1 species
AUUGAACGCUGGCGGCAUGCCUUACACAUGCAAGUCGAACGGCAGCACGGGAGCAAUCCUGGGUGGCGAGUGGCGAACGGGUGAGUAAUAUAUCGGAACGUGCCCAGUCGUGGGGGAUAACGUAGCGAAAGCUACGCUAAUACCGCAUACGAUCUACGGAUGAAAGCGGGGGAUCGCAAGACCUCGCGCGAUUGGAGCGGCCGAUAUCAGAUUAGGUAGUUGGUGAGGUAAAGGCUCACCAAGCCGACGAUCUGUAGCUGGUCUGAGAGGACGACCAGCCACACUGGGACUGAGACACGGCCCAGACUCCUACGGGAGGCAGCAGUGGGGAAUUUUGGACAAUGGGCGCAAGCCUGAUCCAGCAAUGCCGCGUGCAGGAUGAAGGCCUUCGGGUUGUAAACUGCUUUUGUACGGAACGAAACGGUGAGCUCUAAUACAGUUUGCUAAUGACGGUACCGUAAGAAUAAGCACCGGCUAACUACGUG